CAGGAAACAUUAGCUGUGGGAGCCUCCCCUGCCAUCUUGCCUUUGUUCCUGGUGGCCAUGGGACAUGGUGUGCAGGAACGGUCACCGUCUGAUCCAUGUGGACACAACCUACAAGGGUCCAUCAUUUUGGUUUUGAUCCUGGUGGUGAACACCUUUUUGACAUGCUGCAUUGAAGGAGAGCCACCUUCUCUUCCCUGCCUGGGUCUGAAUUGCUGUCACCUUGCCAGCAUCACCCUGAAAGCAGCUAAAAGAGUUUCAGGGACCAGCAACUGCUUAAGGAGUUAGUUCCAGCACCAAUGUACUUGUACCAACCAGCAAGCUCUACAGCCUAAAUCAGAACUGAGGCACCUAGAAAUCUUCACAUGGCUGACACUGCAAGAAGUGCCUGUUCUACCAGCACAGAUUUGUGAAGACAGAAAAUAAGUAAUAAACCUUCACUAUUAAAAAAAUAGAAAUUGUAAUGAAUACCUUACACUCAA